rnacentral:rRNA from 1 species
GACGAACGCUGGCGGCGUGCUUAACACAUGCAAGUCGAACGGAAAGGCCCUGCUUUUGUGGGGUGCUCGAGUGGCGAACGGGUGAGUAACACGUGAGUAACCUGCCCUUGACUUUGGGAUAACUUCAGGAAACUGGGGCUAAUACCGGAUAGGAGCUCCUGCUGCAUGGUGGGGGUUGGAAAGUUUCGGCGGUUGGGGAUGGACUCGCGGCUUAUCAGCUUGUUGGUGGGGUAGUGGCUUACCAAGGCUGUGACGGGUAGCCGGCCUGAGAGGGUGACCGGCCACAUUGGGACUGAGGGACGGCCCAGACUCCUACGGGAGGCAGCAGUGGGGAAUAUUGCACAAUGGGCGGAAGCCUGAUGCAGCAACGCCGCGUGCGGGAUGACGGCCUGCGGGUUGUAAACCGCUUUCGCCUGUGACGAAGCGUGAGUGACGGUAAUGGGUAAAGAAGCACCGGCUAACUACGUG